AUGGGAAAAUUUAGAGCUGCGAUCGACAUAGCGGGGCUGCAUGAAAUCAAAUGCAAGGAUGGAAGAUUCACGUGGAGUAACGAGAGGAAGGGUUUCAUGCUUGUUAGCAUCGAUAAGUUCUUCUGCAACAUUUGUUUGGAGGAGUUGUUGCCAUCUUUCCUCCUGAUGGCUGCAUGGACAUCAUGCUCUCAUCACUCCCCCCUCCUAGCUAGUGCUACCACCCUCAUCGGCUUACGCGGUCCCGUUUUGAAUCCUUUCGGCUGUGCUUCCCCCACUUUCACAAAGAUGGUCAUCAAGGCAUGGCAACGCCCGGGCAGCACACCUCAACCUUCGCGUCGGAAGAUUAAGAUGCAGAGGACAACGAGGGUGUAA
rnacentral:rRNA from 1 species